CAAUCAAACCGGGAGAUAGCUGGUUCUCCCCGAAAGCUAUUUAGGUAGCGCCUCGUGAAUUCAUCUCCGGGGGUAGAGCACUGUUUCGGCUAGGGGGCCAUCCCGGCUUACCAACCCGAUGCAAACUGCGAAUACCGGAGAAUGUUAUCACGGGAGACACACGGCGGGUGCUAACGUCCGUCGUGAAGAGGGAAACAACCCAGACCGCCAGCUAAGGUCCCAAAGUCAUGGUUAAGUGGGAAACGAUGUGGGAAGGCCCAGACAGCCAGGAUGUUGGCUUAGAAGCAGCCAUCAUUUAAAGAAAGCGUAAUAGCUCACUGGUCGAGUCGGCCUGCGCGGAAGAUGUAACGGGGCUAAACCAUGCACCGAAGCUGCGGCAGCGAACGUAUCACCCAAGACAACUUUACGGAGUUGACGAUUGACGGAGCGAAGCGACGUCAAAGCGUUCAUUAAAGUCGAGUUGGCUUAGGGAUACGUUCGUUGGGUAGGGGAGCGUUCUGUAAGCCUGUGAAGGUGUGUCGUGAGGCAUGCUGGAGGUAUCAGAAGUGCGAAUGCUGACAUAAGUAACGAUAAAGCGGGUGAAAAGCCCGCUCGCCGGAAGACCAAGGGUUCCUGUCCAACGUUAAUCGGGGCAGGGUGA
rnacentral:rRNA from 1 species